rnacentral:lncRNA from 1 species
AUGUGGAGGCAGAUGGAAGGGCCCAGGCCAGAAGCCCCCUGUGGCCUCAGAGCCACAGGGAGGAGAGACCUGCCUGCCUCAUGUUAUAGGAGAAAGGCAGUGGCUGCAUGUCCACCCUCGUGCAGCCAGCCCGAGGCCAAGGCCCUGUCCUCAGUGCAGACGUGGACGCUGCCCUUGAAGCCCUCUGGCCUGCCAGGGGAGACCUGGGGACAUGUAAUUCACAGAGGACAGACAGAGGGCGAGGCCUGGGUGCCACAGCCACAAGAGGGAGCAGGAGGAAUCAGGGAGUCUUCCUGGAAGCAGCGGCACAGUGGCAACAGUGCCCCCUGGGGUUGCACACAUGUAAGUGCGUGUGGCUGUAUGGGGACGGGGAAGGGGACGGGGAAGGGGACGUGUUCUGAGGACCCGCAUUUGAGGAGGGCGGCAGCUGGGAGGCCAUGCGCACAGGCCCACAGCCGACUCAGGGCAGGUCUCCCUUCUCCCAGGCCGCAAGACUGUGCCCAGGAUGGCCCUCCCUCGGGGGCGCAGGGGCACGGUGCAGUCCCCAGUCCCGCCUCUGUGAAGGCGAGAACACAACUGGGCAGAGGGAGGGAGUCGGCCGAGCGGCAGCACAGGUGUCCCCUGACCCUCAGCCCGGGGCGGGGAAUGGCUGCCCAGCUCCACUCCCAAUUCCAAAUUCCCAGGAAAGAGACCCCAAUGGGCCCAAAUUGGACUUGCCAGCUGUGGCCUUGGAGGGUGGGCAGUCACGCCCAGAGGGUCCCCCACAAACCGUCAGGAGGACGGAACAGGCACUGCAGGAGCUCCAGCAAGACUGAGCCAGGGCCAGCCCAGGACAGAUGGAGGAGACCAGGGCACACAGGGACACAGGCCAGCGCCGCCCUCAAGGGGCGAGAAGAGGGGAGCAGAGGCCGACAGCAGAAGCAGGAGACUUUACAAAAUUCACCUUCAGGCCCCCAGACGAUCACCGGAGCUCCCCGUAAUUCAACCACUGUGCCUGUGGCCAGGGCAGGAUUACGGCCAUAUUUAACUGGCUCCACCUAA